rnacentral:rRNA from 1 species
GUAGGUGGCAAGCGUUGUCCGGAAUUAUUGGGCGUAAAGCGCGCGCAGGUGGUUCUUUAAGUCUGAUGUGAAAGCCCCCGGCUCAACCGGGAGGGUCAUUGGAAACUGGGGAACUUGAGUGCAGGAGAGGAAAGUGGAAUUCCACGUGUAGCGGUGAAAUGCGUAGAUAUGUGGAGGGACACCAGUGGCGAAGGCGACUUUCUGGCCUGUAACUGACACUGAGGCGCGAAAGCGUGGGGAGCAAACAGGAUUAGAUACCCUGGUAGUCCACGCCGUAAACGAUGAGUGCUAAGUGUUGGGGGGUUUCCGCCCCUCAGUGCUGCAGCUAACGCGUUAAGCACUCCGCCUGGGGGGUACGGUCGCAAGACUG